AGUGAACGCUGGCGGUAGGCCUAACACAUGCAAGUCGAACGGCAGCACAGUAAGAGCUUGCUCUUACGGGUGGCGAGUGGCGGACGGGUGAGGAAUACAUCGGAAUCUACUUUUUCGUGGGGGAUAACGUAGGGAAACUUACGCUAAUACCGCAUACGACCUACGGGUGAAAGCAGGGGAUCUUCGGACCUUGCGCGAUUGAAUGAGCCGAUGUCGGAUUAGCUAGUUGGCGGGGUAAAGGCCCACCAAGGCGACGAUCCGUAGCUGGUCUGAGAGGAUGAUCAGCCACACUGGAACUGAGACACGGUCCAGACUCCUACGGGAGGCAGCAGUGGGGAAUAUUGGACAAAGGGCGCAAGCCUGAUCCAGCCAUACCGCGUGGGUGAAGAAGGCCUUCGGGUUGUAAAGCCCUUUUGUUGGGAAAGAAAAGGAGCAGGUUAAUACCCCGCUGUUCUGACGGUACCCAAAGAAAAAGCACCGGCUAACUUCGUG
rnacentral:rRNA from 1 species